CUCUUAUCAAGAGAGGUGGAGGGAUGUGCCCUUUGAAGCCCGGCAACCGUCUGAAAAGAAAUGGUGCCAAUUCACAUAAAGUGUAAACUUUAGAAGAUGAGAG
rnacentral:ncRNA from 2 species